rnacentral:rRNA from 1 species
CCUACGGGAGGCAGCAGUGGGGGAUAUUGCACAAUGGGGGGAACCCUGAUGCAGCGACGCCGCGUGGGUGAAGAAGCGCCUCGGCGCGUAAAGCCCUGUUAGCAGGGAAGAAAAUGACGGUACCUGAAGAAGAAGCCCCGGCUAACUACGUGCCAGCAGCCGGGGUACUACGUAGGGGGCAAGCGUUAUACGGAUUUACUGGGGGUAAAGGGGGCGCAGACGGCGAGGCAAGCCAGGAGUGAAAGCCCGGGGCCCAAACCCGGGACUGCUGUUGGAACUGCGUGGCUGGAGGGCAGGAGGGGUAGGCGGAAUUCCUGGUGUAGCGGUGAAAUGCGUAGAUAUCAGGAAGAACACCGGUGGCGAAGGCGGCCUGCUGGACUGCAACUGACGUUGAGGCCCGAAAGCGUGGGGAGCAAACAGGAUUAGAUACCCGGGUAGUC